rnacentral:misc_RNA from 1 species
GAACUGCGAUAAGUAAUGUGAAUUGCAGAAUUCAGUGAAUCAUCGAGUCUUUGAACGCACAUUGCGCCCCCUGGCAUUCCGGGGGGCAUGCCUGUCCGAGCGUCAUUGCUGCCCUUCAAGCCCGGCUUGUGUGUUGGGUCGUCGUCCCCCCCGGGGGACGGACCCGAAAGGCAGCGGCGGCACCGUGUCCGGUCCUCGAGCGUAUGGGGCUUUGUCACCCGCUCGAUUAGGACCGACCGGGCGCCCGCCGGCGUCAAACCCCAAUCUUUCUAAGGUUGACCUCGGAUCAGGUAGGGAUACCCGCUGAACUUAAGC